UACGUAGGGAGCAAGCGUUGUCCGGAAUCAUUGGGCGUAAAGCGCGCGUAGGCGGCCCGAUAAGUCCGCUGUGAAAGUCAACGGCUCAACUGUUGGAUGCCGGUGGAUACUGUCGGGCUAGAGUACGGAAGAGGCAAGUGGAAUUCCUGGUGUAGCGGUGGAAUGCGCAGAUAUCAGGAGGAACACCUAUAGCGAAGGCAGCUUGCUGGGACGUUACUGACGCCAAGGCGCGAAAGCGUGGGGAGCGAACAGG
rnacentral:rRNA from 1 species